CCUACGGGAGGCAGCAGUGAGGAAUAUUGGUCAAUGGACGCGAGCCUGAACCAGCCAAGUAGCGUGAAGGAUGACUGCCCUAUGGGUUGUAAACUUCUUUUAUAAAGGAAUAAACUCAGGUACGCGUACCUUUUUGUAUGUACUGUAUGAAUAAGGAUCGGCUAACUCCGUGCCAGCAGCCGCGGUAAUACGGAGGAUCCGAGCGUUAUCCGGAUUUAUUGGGUUUAAAGGGUGCGUAGGUGGUCGGUUAAGUCAGUGGUGAAAUUUUGCGGCUCAACUUUAGAAUUGCAUUUGAUACUGGUAGUCUAGAGAGUAGUUGAGGUAGGCGGAAUGUAUGGUGUAGCGGUGAAAUGCUUAG
rnacentral:rRNA from 1 species